CACGUAGGCGGCCUUGUAAGUUGGGGGUGAAAUCCCGGGGCUCAACCCCGGAACUGCCUCCAAAACUACAAAGCUAGAGGAUGUGAGAGGAUAGUGGAAUUCCGAGUGUAGAGGUGAAAUUCGUAGAUAUUCGGAAGAACACCAGUGGCGAAGGCGACUGUCUGGCACAUUUCUGACGCUGAGGUGCGAAAGCGUGGGGAGCAAACA
rnacentral:rRNA from 1 species